rnacentral:rRNA from 1 species
UACGAAGGGGGCUAGCGUUGCUCGGAAUCACUGGGCGUAAAGCGCACGUAGGCGGAUUGCUAAGUCAGGGGUGAAAUCCUGGAGCUCAACUCCAGAACUGCCUUUGAUACUGGCAACCUUGAGUCCGGGAGAGGUGAGUGGAACUGCGAGUGUAGAGGUGAAAUUCGUAGAUAUUCGCAAGAACACCAGUGGCGAAGGCGGCUCACUGGCCCGGUACUGACGCUGAGGUGCGAAAGCGUGGGAGCAAACAGG